GACGAACGCUGGCGGCGUGCUUAACACAUGCAAGUCGAACGGAAAGGCCCUGCUUUUGUGGGGUGCUCGAGUGGCGAACGGGUGAGUAACACGUGAGUAACCUGCCCUUGACUUUGGGAUAACUUCAGGAAACUGGGGCUAAUACCGGAUAGGAGCUCCUGCUGCAUGGUGGGGGUUGGAAAGUUUCGGCGGUUGGGGAUGGACUCGCGGCUUAUCAGCUUGUUGGUGGGGUAGUGGCUUACCAAGGCUUUGACGGGUAGCCGGCCUGAGAGGGUGACCGGCGACAUUGGGACUGAGAGACGGCCCAGACUCCUACGGGAGGCAGCAGUGGGGAAUAUUGCACAAUGGGCGGAAGCCUGAUGCAGCAGCGCCGCGUGCGGGAUGACGGCCUUCGGGUUGUAAACCGCUUUCGCCUGUGACGAAGCGUGAGUGACGGUAAUGGGUAAAGAAGCACCGGCUAACUACGUG
rnacentral:rRNA from 1 species